GUAGCCUAGUGGUUAGAGUGUUGGACCAGUAACCGAAAGAUUGCUGGAUCAAAUCCCCUGAACUGACAAGGUAAAAAUCUACCCCUGAACAAGGCAGUUAACCCACUGUUUCCAAGCCGUCAUUGUAAAUGAGAAUUUGUUCUUCACGGACUUGCCUAGUUAAAUAUGAAAUAUUCAUGAGAUCUCUAAACAGCAACAAGACAGUGUCAUCAACCAAUGAAUGGAAACUUUCAGGUCUAAUGUUUUUAGUUUUUAGCUAGUGAAAAAUAUGACUUAACUUCACCGACAUUUAGUUGCAAAUAUUUAUUGUGCAUUGGGGAAUAUGCUAAUUAGCUAACAUUAAUGUUAUCAUUCCUCAACAACUCUUCCUCUCUGACAACAGUCAGCUACCAAAGCGACAAUAGCUACUUCAUCUGGAAAAAAUAAUAUUGACAAGUCAAAAAAAUGACAACCUAUAUUUAGCUAUUAAAACGACUGACUUAACUUGCCAAGAAGUUGCAGUUGGUUCUCACUUCUCUUCUCAAUGAAUGUGAAAUACCUUCUUAUAGGAAGUCAGGUGGUUGAUGAUAACAACCCAUAUCAAAUAUUCAAAGAGGUAUUCAAAUAAGGGUAUCCACCAAUCCAAAACAAGGACUAGGCAGAAAGUUCACAUUGUUAGGAUAGAGACUAGAUCAUAUUGUCAUUAUAUAGAGUAACUCUGACUAAAUAUGGCUGGGUUUAUAUCUGGUGGGUACUGGGUAGUAAAUGGCUGUGUGAGGCUUUAUCCUAAACCAUUCCAGAGUUUGUGGACAAUGAUCCACAUUGUUAGGAUAGAGACUAGACCAUCUUGUCAUUAUAUAGAGUAUCUCUGACUAAAUAUGGCUGAGUUUAUAUCUGGUGGGUACUGGGUAGUAAAUGGCUGUGUGAGCCUUUAUCCUAAACCAAGAGUGACACCUGGUGGUUACUAUAUGCAUUACAUGCAGGUUUCUCGUAAAGCAAAACCAAUGAAAGCAAAUACUGCAAUCCAGCCACAUAUAUGUUUAGUUGUCAAAAAACAGAUGAAAGACACUGUAGACACAUCUAUAUUUUUUAAAUACAACUUUUUUGUUGUUGUUGUUACAAUUACACAAACAUUUGUGGCAUUCUUCAAUUAUAUAAAAAAUAAAAAUCAACAGCACACAACCAAUGGCUCAAAUUAAAAGUUUUAAAACAUUUGUACCCAAAGUAGUAUAUCCCCAAUACUGUCCUUUACAUCCAUUUGACUAUGCUGGUUUUUACACGAUCAAUUGAUCAUCUCUGAGUUAUUGAUCAAUGCGCUCAAAUCAAUGGAAGUGGAAAUAAACUAUUGUGUAGCAGUGAAGUGGAUGUGUCAACCAGCAUUCGGUUCAACUCAACAACGUCAUGUCAUCGGCCUGGGAGACAUCUAUCAGUUUGUGCCGUCAUUGACAAUGACAGCAAUGGAGUUGGCAAGACAACACAAACAGAUCUGGGACCCGCCUGGUGGUCUUUUCAACCAGUUUGGCUCACCGGGAGGGCUGACGAGUCAUUACACAGGCCAGACAGAAUUCAUUACUGCAAUGAUACGGAUAAUGACAAGUAUAGGGACUAGGAGAGUACAGGGACUAGGAGAGUACAGGGACUAGGAGAGUACAGGGACUAGGAGAGUACAGGGACUAGGAGAGUACAGGGACUAGGAGAGUACAGGGACUAGGAGAGUAUAGGGACUAGGAGAGUAUAGGGACUAGGAGAGUACAGGGACUAGGAGAGUACAGGGACUAGGAGAGUACAGGGACUAGGAGAGUACAGGGACUAGGAGAGUACAGGAAAGAAACAGGGACUAGGAGAGUACAGGGACUAGGAGAGUAUAGGGACUAGGAGAGUACAGGGACUAGGAGAGUACAAGGACUAGGAGAGUAUAGGGACUAGGAGAGUACAGGAAAGAAACAGGGACUAGGAGAGUACAGGGACUAGGAGAGUAUAGGGACUAGGAGAGUACAGGGACUAGGAGAGUACAGGAAAGAAACAGGGACUAGGAGAGUACAGGGACUAGGAGAGUACAGGGACUAGGAGAGUACAGGGACUAGGAGAGUACAGGGACUAGGAGAGUAUAGGGACUAGGAGAGUAUAGGGACUAGGAGAGUACAGGAAAGAAACAGGGACUAGGAAAAUACAGGAAAGUACAGGGACUAGGAAAGUACAGGGACUAGGAAAGUACAGGAAAGUACAGGGACUAGGAGAGUACAGGGACUAGGAGAGUACAGGAAAGUACAGGGACUAGGAAAAUACAGGAAAGUACAGGGACUAGGAAAGUACAGGGACUAGGAGAGUACAGGGACUAGGAGAGUACAGGAACUAGGAAAGUACAGGAAAGUACAGGGACUAGGAGAGUAAAGGAACUAGGAAAGUACAGGAAAAUACAGGAACUAGGAAGGUAUAGUGACUUGGAGAGUACAGGAACUAGAAAAGUACAGGAAAGUAUAGGAACUAGGAAAGUACAGGAAAGUACAGGGACUAGGAGAGUACAGGGACUAGGAGAGUACAGGGACUAGGAGAGUACAGGAAAGUACAGGGACUAGGAGAGUACAGGGACUAGGAAAGUACAGGAAAGUACAGGGACUAGGAAAAUACAGGAACUAGGAAAGUAUAGGGACUAGGAGAGUACAGGAAAGUACAGGGACAAGGAAAGUACAGGGACUAGGAGAGUACAGGGACUAGGAGAGUACAGGAAAGUAGAGGGACUAGGAGAGUACAGGACAAUACAGGGACUAGGAAAGUACAGGGACUAGGAAAGUACAGGGACUAGGAAAGUACAGGGACUAGGAAAGUAUAGGGACUAGGAAAAUACAGGGACUAGGAGAGUACAGGGACUAGAAGAGUACAGGAAAGUACAGGGACUAGGAAAGUACAGGAAAGUACAGGAAAGUACAGGGACUAGGAAAGUACAGGAAAGUACAGGGACUAGGAAAGUACAGGGACUAGGAGAGUAUAGGGACUAGGAGAGUACAGGGACUAGGAGAGUACAGGGACUAGGAGAGUAUAGGGACUAGGAAAAUACAGGGAAGUACAGGGACUAGGAAAGUAUAGGGACUAGGAGAGUAUAGGGACUAGGAGAGUAUAGGGACUAGGAGAGUACAGGGACUAGGAGAGUAUAGGGACUAGGAAAAUAAAAACCAACCAACUAACUACUUUAGACCAGAGUCCUAUGGCACCCUAUUCCCUAUAUAGUACACUACUUUAGACCAGAGCCCUAUGGCACCCUAUUCCCUAUAUAGUGCACUACUUUAGACCAGAGCCCUAUGGAACCCUAUUUCCUAUAUAGUGCACUACUUUAGACCAGAGCCCUAUGGUACCCUAUUCCCUAUAUAGUGCACUACUUUAGACCAGAGACCUAUGGUACCCUGUUCCCUAUAUAGUGCACUACUUUAGACCAGAGCCCUGUUCCCUAUAUAGUGCACUACUUUAGACCAGAGCCCUAUGGCACCCAAUUCCCUAUAUAGUGCACUACUUUAGACCAGAGCCCUAUGACACCCUAUUCCCUAUAUAGUGCACUACUUUAGACCAGGACGCAUAGGGAUCAGGUCUAAAGUAGUGUGCCCUAUAUACAGUAGAGACCUGGAAGCCAGUUCCACUGCUUUUCUCCCAUAAUUCCACCUCUAACCUGGGACACCAGGUGGGGGCAAUUAUUAUCAGGUAGAACAGAAAACCUGCAGGAAUCAGGACCUCGUAGGGUCAGAGUUGAAUACCUCUGAAAACACACACACACACACACACACACACACAUACA
ensembl:lncRNA